rnacentral:lncRNA from 1 species
CCCUGCUGGCCCCGGAGGAGUCCGAGUGCUCUGUGCUGGAAGAAGAGGAGUCGAGGCUGCUGGAGACAUCAGGGCUCAGUGGCUCUGUGGCAGUGAUGCGCUGCAUCAGCUCUUGCGUUUGGCAGCUGUUUGCAGUGGCUUUGGUCCCCUCUCUUGUGACACCGGGCAGGUCCUGCUUGUGCUGGGGGACCUCCAGAGCCGCUUCUGAAAAAGCAAGAACAUCCCCCCGAACGAUGAUGGCAGCCUUCCCACAGCCACUCGGUGCAGGCAGCCACCUCUGGGGGUCACCUCUGCGGAGCACAGUCUCACCGUCAAUCCAGGUGAGCAAACGGUCCAUUUCCACAUCAUCGUUGUCAAGUCUGCGGGUGCUGGGUGUCUCUUCUGGAAAAGGCAGAAAAUGCCCAGCGGGGCAAUGGCAAUGCCGGCUUUCCCACGCCCACUCAGUGCAGACACCCCCCCAGCAGCUCUGCUGCCCCUCCGAGAGAGACUCACCGUUGUUGAUCCACGUGAGCAGGUCAUCGAUGUCUGCGUCGUCGUACAGGAUGCCUGUCUUGGAUGUCACUUCUGGAAAAGGCAGAAAAUGCCCGGUGGGGCAAUGCCAGCUUUCUUUCCCACACCCAGUG